AACGAGCGCUGGCGGCAUGCCUAACACAUGCAAGUCGAACGAGACCUUCGGGUCUAGUGGCGCACGGGUGCGUAACGCGUGGGAACCUGCCCUUAGGUUCGGAAUAACUCCCCGAAAGGGGUGCUAAUACCGGAUAAUGUCUUCGGACCAAAGAUUUAUCGCCUUUGGAUGGGCCCGCGUUGGAUUAGCUAGUUGGUAGGGUAAAAGCCUACCAAGGCGACGAUCCAUAGCUGGUCUGAGAGGAUGAUCAGCCACACUGGGACUGGGACACGGCCCAGGACCCCACGGGAGGCAGCAGUGGGGAAUAUUGGACAAUGGGCGAAAGCCUGAUCCAGCAAUGCCGCGUGAGUGAUGAAGGCCUUAGGGUUGUAAAGCUCUUUUACCCGGGAUGAUAAUGACAGUACCGGGAGAAUAAGCUCCGGCUAACUCCGUG
rnacentral:rRNA from 1 species